AAAUUUCAGUUCGAUGUAAUUCACUUAAUACCCGUUUGCCUGAAUUUUUCUAUUGCAAAAAUUGUUUUAAGCUAAAACCUACCUUUCCGACUGGCCAUGCAGCAAGAUAUUGGACAGGAUGGUGACAGUCGAGUACGCCUUCAGGGAUGAUGACGACGGUGCUGACCAUGACCGUGAUCCACGUGAUAGCCCGAAAAGAGGUGGCGGUCACGGAAGGCAUGAUGAUAGAGGCUAUGGACGCUCAGACAGCCCUGCCUACCGAAGGGGUCGCCCAAGCCCAGACUACGGUCGAGCUAGGAGUCCUCUAUACGACCGGUAUGAUGCCCCCUCGUAUGGUAGGAGCAGGAGUCCCGAGUACAGUCGUAGUCGGAGGUGAGGACAGCAAAACUUUCUGGAAUCAGCCGUUCUCCUCAACGUCGGUAAAAUAGACAUGAAGCAUUUUGCAACGCGGCGAUCAAACGAAUGUCAGGACGAUAUUUAUCGAUGGUAUUUCAAUUAACUAAGAACAUCCUCAAUAUUA